CCCCUGCCGCCCCCUCCCUCCGCUUCUCUCUAUCCGCAGGCUCUCCCUGGCCCUGUAGCAAAUCUGUCCUUUUUCCGGGCCCAAUGUGGCCAGGCAACUGGUUUCGGCUUGCUGAGGCUCUGUCCAGAUCCUCAGGGAAGCAGCUGAGAGGCCAGGAAGUGGAGCGCCGUGGGAACCCACGCUUCCAGCGCAUUCUCGCUCGAUAGUUCUCUGGGCAGGACUGGGCUGAUCAGGACAGAGUAGCGCAGUCACUGAUGGGGUCCGUGGUGGGUGCUGCUUUUUGGGGCAGCUCAGCCACGACCGGAAGGUUCUGUUUCCCUGGGCACAGCGCGAAGAAGGAAGAGUAGGACGGUCAAAGAAGACUAAUACUGGAGGGCGGUGAUCUGGCAAAAAGCAGGUGUCUGGGGGAGUCUAAAAGAACUGCUUCGGAAUCAAUUUUUAAAUGACAACACAUGGGCAUUUUGACUCACAUAAACAAGGGCAACAUCAUAGAGAUAGUGGAGCAAGUGGAUGGAAGGAACCAGGAAGACUGACAACUUUGCAACUCAGAGCCACCAUACAAAUUUGGACUUUUACUUGAGAGAUAAAUAAACGUUAUUCUUGUUUAAGCAACCA